ACCCUGGACUUAUAUUGGCGGCCUAAUGGUUAGCGCGCUGGACUCCGCAUCGAGCGGUCUGGGUUCGAGUCCUGGCCAGGGUC